rnacentral:misc_RNA from 1 species
GAUGAAGAACGUAGCGAAAUGCGAUAAGUAAUGUGAAUUGCAGAAUUCAGUGAAUCAUCGAAUCUUUGAACGCACAUUGCGCCCAUUAGUAUUCUAGUGGGCAUGCCUGUUCGAGCGUCAUUAAGUCCACUUAAGCCCUGCUUAGUGUUGGGAGACUGCUCCAGCGGUGCUACCCUGUAGCUACCCUGCAGCUCCUCAAAGACAGCGGCGGAGUUGUGGUAUCCUCUGAGCUUAGUAACUUGUUCUAGCUUUCGUGUACACCACUUCCCCUGCCGUAAAACCCUUAAUUUUUAAUGGUUGACCUCGGAUCAGGUAGGAAUACCCGCUGAACUUAAGCAUACCAAUCAGCGGAGGA